CUUUUACAGCAACAUAACAGAUUGGGCAUCCCCAGAGGUAUCUGUUUUCAAGUACAAAUAUUUCAUAUUCCUAACUAAUUCUGUAUGUAGUCUUAAGGACACAGGAUUUGAGACUAUUCACUUUUUUUGCGAUUUUGUAAAAAGGUAAUGCUAAAUUGGUAAACUUUACUUUAUCUCAAUAAAGUGGAAUCCACCAAUAAUAAUAUAAACAUUUUCUCAUCAACCUUUCAAAUGAGGUUCUUUAUUAGGCAAAGGAUAGUUCCUUAGUAUUUCUAACCAUUUGUACAUGGCUUUAAAGUUCCAUAUGAAAUGUACCCUAGAAAGUUGGCAUGUUAUAUUCACACUCAUCACACCUUAAAGUAAGUUGGUAGUCUUUAAUAGCUUUGUUAAACCUAUCUAAACUUUGCUUAUGUUCUUCCAUACGUGCUCCACGCACAACAGCUUCAGUAGUGUAAACAAGAGUUGCAUUUAAAUGAUUAACAAUAAUUAUACUAUCAACUACUCUUUGCAAAGCAGCUACGGCAUUCUACACAUAUAUUUUUCCAUUACUUUCAAGCAUUGUAAAUAGAUGAUCACCAAAGUACAAUGGUACUUGGUAUUCUCCAAUGUUUUUUUUUCAUCUUUUGGUCGAUACCUGUCCGAGUAAAUAACCUGAAUAUUGAGCAGCUUCCUUCUUCACAAUUAUGAAAAUGUAAAUAUUCUGCUAACUGUAAGCGGAUGUUGGUGCACCAUAGAUGCUAUUGUAUUAUGAAAACAUCAAUAUGGAUGAACAAACAAAACUGCAGAUUACACUGUGUAACACGAUUUUGUCCUUGGGUAGCAACUGUUUUUCCUAUUUGCUUAGUCCCAGAAAGUAUGGAAAUAUGGCUAAUAUUUCCUUCACACUUUGCUUUUGUUACAUUUAUUCAAACCCCCAAGCGGCACAUAGCUAUGAUGUUCUCCAACUAUUCCUGCACAUGAUCAGAGAUACACGUAUUGUCAGCCACUAAGGGACUUGCUCAAGUGGUUAAUAUCAGGUAACUGACAAACAAAUCUGUGGUACUGAGCAGAAUAUUUGAUAUAAUGAUAUUUCUGCUUCAGCAACGCAGCGCUGAAUCCGUCUGAAAUGCAACGGAGAAUAGAUCAGUUUGAAAACAUUGAUGUCCAGGUCACAAAAGCAAAGUUUGAAGGGAAUAGUAGUAAUUUCCUUUGAUUUGUAGUUAAAAGCAAAUAGGAAAUAACACUUACUGACCGGAGGCAAAAUAUUUCUUUUGCAACCUGAAUAGUUCUAGUAGGAUGAUGAAGGCUGUUCGUCUUGCAUUUAUAUCAAAUACUUAUUUUGUCAUUCUUGUUGUUUAGCUCCAGAUCAACCAAGACUGCAAAAAAUUUCAAUAAAAUCUUUACAAAUCAUGAACAAAUCAACUGUUCGGAUACUCCUAGGACUACAUUUGUCUAUGUUGUUACUUGGUCGUGUGGCUUGGUUCGAGAUGUGGCUGCUCUGCUAUUUCUAGCAAGUCAAUUAACCUCAUAUAAACACCUUUGUAGGUUCCAUAAACUACACGUAAGAAGAGCAAGUGAAGAGUCAUGGUUCUACCGGGUAUUGAACCUUCGUUGUAGAUUCUACUCUCAUCUCGUUUACGAGCUCCAAAAUUACGACAACCACAUCUUCCUGCCUCAUACUAGUUACAUCUUCCAACCUUACAUCCUCCCAUCUUAUCGCUAUCACAUUCACUUAUCUUAAGACAGUUGCAUCCUUCCAUUUCCCAUCAGUCGCAACCUCUUACUAGCAGCACUCACAUGCUACCACUUUACGACAAUCAUAUCUUACCUCCUUACGACUGUCGCAUUCUUUCACUUUAUGAGUCAGAUAUACCUCCCUCUCCAUAAUCAGAAGCUCCGACCUUACAACGACGUCAGCUUCUCACCUUACCAACUCACACCUUACCUCACAUUCUACCAACUAAGGCAGUCACAUAUUCUUACCUUACAUCGGCCACUAUAUUUACGACGCUUAUAUUUUUUGACAUUACAUCAGUCACAUUAACUUUACAAUAAACACAGACAUGUGCCAAACGUCAAUCACGUCUCCACCAUACGAAAAUCAAAUUCUUUCAAUUUACGCACAGUGACAUCCUGCCAUCUUAUGAUACACAUUCUCUCACAUUAUGUCAGUCAUUUCCUCUCACAUUAUGACAGUCAUAUACCUCCAUCUUAAGGUAGGUACAUCUUUUCAACUUUACAGCAAUAAUAAGAUGUUGCAAAUAAGAAUAACAAUAUGACUGAAUAUUUUUAGGGGAUAGCGGAAGAAAGAUAGGAUGAAACACUCGCAAAGAGAGAAAUUGAGAGAGAAAGACGAAAGAAAAAUAGAGAAAAAUAUAGGGGUAUGAGGAUAUUGUGAAAAUAGUGGUUGUAAAACAGAAUGAAGGAUGAAUUGCAACGAGUUAAACAUCCCAUUAAAGAACACACGCAAGUAAAUACAUAUUUGUAGGGAGAUAAAAGUGGGAGAUGGCGAAGGGAGAUAGAAUGAUUGUUCGUGUGUGAUAUGACAAGGAUAUGAAAAUCAACUAUCUGUAGAGAAAUAGACAUAUAUAUAUAUAUAUAUAUAUAUAUAUAUAUAUAUGUGUGUGUGUGUGUGUGUGUGUGUGUGUGUGUGUGUGUGUGUUUGUGUGUGUGUAUGUGUGUGUGUGUGUGUGUGUGUGAGAGAGAGAGAGAGAGAGAGAUGGAUAGCUAGACAGAGAAAGAGCUUGGAGUGUGAGAGAAAAAGUGAGUUAUAUAGUAAUAACAUGAGCCAACACCAGUAAAUUCCGACGAGAUAAAAAAAAAAACGAAACAUGCGAUAGUUACCAUGCUGGAAAGAACCACCAAAUUACAUUACUCAGUACUUAUUCAUACUAUCGAUAUAUUACAGAUAUUACAAUGAGUGGCGAAAAAGUCUUCAAAAUAAAUCUUCUGUGAAAUAUAAUGUGACGGAUUAAUUUUCUCCAUUUCUCGUUUUACUCCGGAAGUUUAUCAUCAAUUUUAGCGACAAAGUCACAAGACCAGUUUUACCACUGAAAGAAGAUUGAUGGCACAAUUAGCGUCGUAUCUGACUUGUUGUGUCAUUUUUCUAGCAAUUUAAGUAGGAGAUAGUUAAUGUGAAAUAUUGGAAAACACAAUCGUCAAUACAACCGUUGAAAUUUCUUUUGCAUUUGUUCUUUUCUAUGUAAUCGGUCACACAUAUAUUAUAAAGAGGUAACUGAUGUAAAACAUGAAAGGUAGGGUGUAGGACAUCAGCAUUGAAUACAUUACAUAUUUCCAAUGUGAGAUCGCAUAUUUCGAUCUGUGUUAAAUCAGGAUGAAUGAAGGACAUAUUCACAUUCUAUUCCUUGGUCCUGACAGAUGUAUAGUGAGGCUAAAAGUUAGAAAGAUAUUGGAUAUUUUUUAUACGCUCAGUCUAUUCCUAAGCCCUACAUUCAGUGCUAAAUAUUUUUCUGCCUAUCUACGCCUUGAUUUUAGUCAAAUGAGGAUAUAUUGGCACAUGGUUAAACAUUGUAGAGGAUGGUUAUACAGAUUAAAUGGAUACCAAUGCAUCCUUAAUGGAAGAAAACCAAAGCAAAAAUUUAAAAAAAGAGAAAAAAAUGGUUCCCCGCUAGAAUGUGAACUCAAAAAAAUUAGAUGGACAAAACUAAAUACUGAAAAAGCGUGUAAUCUAAUGCUUUGUUGAUUUCACCACUCAAAUGACUAUCAUGUCUUAGAUUAAUGAACAAAAUUAAGACGUAUACUGAGGAGAGGAAAAUUGCUUGAAUCUACGCUGAGACAUAUUUCCCUACCAUAGUGAGAUGAAAAGUAAAGUCGACCCUGACAGUAUUUGAACCCAAAAUGUAAAGUAACGAGACUAUAUGCCGCCAGCCCGCUUCUCUACCCUCACCUUUUCCUUAAUUCUAUUUGGAAUACUUGCAAUUAGACUGAUCACCAAAAUUUCCUAUACUGAAGAAGCUUUACUCGAUCGAAUCAUUCUCGGUAUCUUAUGUAUGUUAUCUUUCUAUCGGAUGAAAUGAGGAAAUCUGUAACCGGAAAAACAAUUUCCAUAACAUUUGAAUAUUAUAAUGUAUUUAGGCCGGUUUUCUAUUGUCAGCUGAAAGCGGAUGCCGCUCGUCAAGUCGAUAACGUUACAGACAACCAAAUGACAUCGAUGGUUCUUAUCUCUCAAAAAGUAAAGCGUCUGAUGUCAAAGCAUUUAAUUCCAAGUAAGCUGCAUAGCAUGUUAUGUUACUAAUCCAAAGUGUAGUCUAACAGUAUUUUAUAGUGUGGUGUACUACUAUACCACAAAAUAUACCACUACACUAAUCGUAUAGUAAUCCAAAUUGAUCAGGGCCCCACCCAUGCCAAGUUCCUUACCCCCACCUAAGAGGUGAGGUGGAUGUUAUGUGAGUAGUUCUGUUUGGGUUAGCGCAUGUCUGCGCGUCAUCAACCAACUUAUUGACGACAAGCACCAACAUCUUGGCUAACACAUUGGCCAAAGUCUAAUCUGCAUUCGGGUCCUUCCGCAACAGCACCACCACUCCACGGUUCACAGCACUGUAGAUUCUACCGUUCUGUUGCCAGUUGUGGUAGACCUCUGCUAAGAGACCACCGAACAAGUCUGGCAUAUGAAAAUAAAGCUGGAAGAGCAGACCAUCUCGCCCCGGAUACUUCUCUCUUGCACAGGCUUUUAUCACGCCUCGUAUAUCUUCGGCUGUUAUCGGUAUUUCGAAGAAAUCCACCACCGCCUACCCCAUACAGUUCGGCGAAGUAAGGCUGAAAUUCCGCACACAUCUGCUUGGACUCGGUUAUCAUGCGCCCAUCACAGCUCGCCAAAAACAGAACUGUUGCUUUGUUUCCACGAAGCGCCUCUGCCACCCGGGCCCAUCGAACAGCUUUCGUCCCCUUCCGUCUCAGUGCACGCGCCCUAGCUCUGACAACAGUCAGUCUCACUAGCUGUAUUGCAAAACUGAUGGAAUCGUGUGUCAGAGAAACACUCUGGAACUUCUGGAGCUCUCACAGUCUCAUCCGACCCUCACAAUAUGGAUUUGUCCCUAACUCCAGCUGCAGUGACCAGCUUGUCGAGUUCCUUGAGGACAUUACUCAGAUUACUGACAGUGGCUCAUGGGUGGAUGUUGUCUACCUUGACUUUGCUAAGGCUUUCAACUCUGUGCCACACAAAAGGCUUAUGGUGAAACUCUCUGCAAUGGGUGUGGGGGAUGACCUUUUUAACUGGUUGAAAUCCUUCAUCCUCAGCCGAAAGGAGGUAGUCACAGUUCUAGGACAGCACUCUACACCAUAUGAGAUGUCAUCGGGUGUACCACAGGGAUCUGUCCUUGGCCCCCUCUUGUUUGUGGCAUACAUUAACGACAUAGAUGCCAAUUUAAAGAAUGCCACAGUAUUGAAAUAUGCAGACGACAUCAAGCUGUACCUUGAAAUCAAGAGGACAGAUCCUGAUGUCUACAACUCUUUCCUGCAAUCAGACCUAGACACAAUGCAGCAAUGGAUCACAGACUGGCAACUGAAACUGGCUGUGGACAAGUGUACCACCAUGCAUUUUGGGAGAAAAAACCCUGCGUUCACAUACUCCCUCCACAACACUGAUAUCAAGAAAUCCUCUUGCGAGCGUGACCUAGGCAUCACUGUCAGCAGUGAUUUGCGUUGGUCAAAGCAUAUCUCUAAGAUUGUCAGGAAGGCCGAGGGUGUCUUGGCAUCACUCAGCAGGUCUUUUGUUAGCCGCUCUCCAGCCAUCUAUUUAAAACUGUAUACAGCUAUGGUACGACCACACUUGGAAUUCGCAUCAUCAGUUUGGAACCCCUAUCUUGCACAGAACAUUGACCUCCUGGAAUCUGUCCAGAGACGUGCAACCAAACGCAUACCCUCCAUCAGACACCUACCAUAUUCUGAGCGCCUUGUUUCCCUGGGCAUGGAUUCACUGAAGCUCCGGCGUUUGGCGACGGACUUGGUAAACACCCACAAAGUUAUCAACCACCUCACCAACAACAACACUGAACACCUUUUUGAUCUCCAUGUGUCUAACACACGUGGACAUGCCUACAAAGUCAGAAAACAAUACAGCUCCCAUGACUUUCGGAAACAUUUUUUCACGCUCAGAGUUGCUGAAGCAUGGAAUAAACUGCCUGCGUCAGUUGUUGACUGCCAUGACACUGCAUCUUUUAAGGCCCUCAUGCUUUCCGAAAUCCGCCGAAACUUCACCUGAUUAUAUAUACACUUUAGAUGAGUUGUAGUGCACCUGAGCACUGUACACAAUUAUUAUUAUUAUUAUUAUUUAACACAACCUUCGUGCUUGGCAUUGAAGAAUUGAUGAAGAGACAAUCUCGCCGCUAGCACGUCGGUUUCUAUGAAUUUCCUAAGUACCUCUUCUAGCUUCCUAACUAGGCCUCCCUCUAUCCUAGAUUCUUCUAAUGCUAUUUCCUUACUAAAACUUACCGCCUCUACUUUAAUAGCCCUUUUCAGGGCUAUCCAUCAACGGCUGUUGACGAUUGCGCCCGCCAACUUUCGAUAGGCUAACUUACUAACCCGGUCUCUGAAAGGUUGGCGCGCCGGGAAGGACGCGUGCAGCUUCCAGUAUCCGGGACCCUGUCAGCUGAGCAGAAAUGUGAGGCUUUUACUCCCCACUCUUCCAUCAGCUAGCUCCAUCCUAUCCAGGUGUGCGUCCAAGAUGGCGUUCCAGUCACCUACUAACAUUAAAGAGCGUGACGUCCCUAGGAAAGCCUCCAAAUGUCUGAAGAAAUUUGGUUGCUCCGCCCGCGUCGGGGCGUAAACAGCGACUAGUCUAAAGGCAUCACCUUCACUGUCGCUCACGUCCAGGACCACCAACUUGCAUUCUGGGUCUAGGCGACCUGAGAUCAUUGAGCAAGCAUCCUUACUUCCAGAGUGACCUCAGGCCGCGAACAUUUAAGCAGCCAACUUUGACGAUUGCCAUCACGGCUCGAAAGGGUUGAGGAAAAGAGAAAGAGAGGGGUUACUUACACUCCUGGAGUUGUUGGUAGCCCGGUGACCCGGGCUCCGGAUCUGGUUCCUCCGGCAAACUGGCUAAAGCCUCUUAGUGGCGCGUACGUUUGGCCUUCCCACGUCAUGCAGGAACUCCCUUUGAAAAUUUCUUUGUAAACUUUGAGGGGUAACCGUAUUAACAUGAAAUGAUCUGGAACAAAAACGGUGUUUCCGUAUUGACUGUGAGCUUUCUUUUGUGGGCUAUGGGUGUUGUAGGUGCAUUGGUGGAUUUGGUUGGGGUAGUGGUGGUUGUGGGGAUGGUGUUGUUGGUGUUCGAUGAGUUGGGGCUUUCUGUGUUUUCGGAUGUUGAUUUAGGUUCUUUUGCUUUCUGUUUCCUUUGCCUUUACCUUGUUUUUACUUCGUGAGGUUCUUCCUCGCCUUCACUACAGGAGGAUUAGUAGCUUGUGUCUGCAUGGUCUCUCUCCGGGAGUGUGAGUGCGUCUGUGAUAGUGUGAGCGUGCUUGUGUGAGAGUAUGCUUGAUAACGGGUAUGUGGGGGUGCCAAUUUGACAUAUACCCUUGGUGGUUUCCCCAUUGUAUAGGUUUCACGCGCUUCUGCUGUUGUUAUGGAUGAGACUGCAGUUCUAUUAAAAGGUCUCUGUUGUUGGGGGUGAGUUGUAGGCUGCAGGUGUAGCCGCGUUCCGCCCGAUUUUUGUGGAAGAACGCUCCCAGGUGGAUUGUGGCCACACAGGUGUCACAUCUGGACUUCCUGCCUUCCACGACGAUACGCAAUUCCACCCCAGUGGGCUGAUGGAUCAGGCCCGGGAUCUACACGAUAUUCUCUGGUUGCACAUGGAUUGAUAUCUCCAAGUUGAUCCUGCGCCAGUUCUCCCUACGGCUCUUUUUUUACCUCCAGAUGUGACUCUGGGUCCUCACUGCAUAGGCAACGAUCCACCUGAUGUUUAAACCUGGUAGCAUACCGUUUACCCUAAUUCUCUUCGUUCUCUUCGAGACGUAGGUGGGAUAUAAGACCAUCUCUUUAAUCCACCGGGGUGACACUGCGUGUCUUCGCGCGAGGUCCUCACUUUUAAAGAGAACCUCAAUGCUGGCAAACUGCCUCUCUCUCUCUGUAUGUGAGUCACAUUUGUUAAAAUUUUGCUGAGAGCCUUCGAGACGUGACUGAUGGAAGGUGUUUCGGAUCUCCUACUUUUCCGUGAUAUACAUUUAAAAUAUACAGUCUUUUUUUCUUUUGCCUCUAUCAUUUAGAGAGGUUCGAGCACUGAUACCUUAUCCCCGUCAACUUUGAUAAUGUCUUUUGCUUUCGAAAGUGCUCGUAUUUUGUCCUCGAGAGGGAUUGUAAACAUUUCUUUCUUUGUGUUUGCUAUAUCAGUAAAACUGUUUUUGUUAUAGUUUUUGUUGAUGUUGUCAUCGACGUUGCUGUUGAUGUUGUUGUUACUGCUGCUGCUGCUGUUGCGGUUGGUGGUGAUGGUAGUGGAGUUGUGGCCACUUCCACCGCAACCACUCUCCAGACCGCCUUCACAGCCUUCGAUUGUAAUAUUAUCUUCUCGGCUAAAACCCACCACCACCACUACUACUACUACUACUACUACUACUACUACUACUACUACUACUACUACUACUACUACUACUACUACUACUACUACUACUUUGUUUCUAGUAUAAUCGAUCACGUGACGUUGACCGUACGUUUUGUUGAUUUCUUCAAUGACAUCAGAUGUUUAAUGUUAAGAUAAAGCAGCUAAACGGAAAUAAUAUAACGGUGGCCUUUAUCUUAAAGAGACCAUCAAAGCUAAAAAGGAUUCACAAUCGACCUUGAUAUCAAGUUCUACUGAUAACUUCUACUCUGUUACAUUUAAAUAAUUAAACAUGUUUAUGUUAAGUACAGGAUUCUUUUGUACGGUUAUGAUGACCAGGAUGGGUAAGGCCUCGUAUAGUAGACGUAGUAAGUAACCUAAUAAAACAUCAACAUCUGGCCUUUGGAUGUCUUCGGUGGAAGCCACUUCUUUUAAAAGCAUUUGGACAAGGAUUCGAUCUGUGACUCUAAUAGUAUUUGAACCCAGAAUGUAAAGACUACAUGCUCACUUUUCUACCUUCUCUGUACCCUUAAUACUAUUUAAAGUACUUCAAAAAAAAAAAGAAAUUCUAUUACUAAUGACCACAGAAAGAGUUCCUCCAGUGAAGACUAUAUUCGAUUGAAUCAAUUAGAUUCGAUUGAUUUCGUCACUUACUUCUAAUUUCUUUAUUACCCACAAGGGGCUAAACAAAGAGGGGACAAACAAGGACAGGCAAAGGGAUUAAGUCGAUUACAUCCUCCCCAGUGCGUAACUGGUACUUAAUUUAUUGACCCCGAAAGGAUGAAAGGCAAAGUCGACCUCGUCGGAAUUUGAACUCAGAACGUAACGGCAGACGUAAUACCGCUAAACAUUUCGCCCGGCGUGCUAACGUUUCUGCCAGCUCGCCGCCCUUCGUCCCUUUCUUCUAGCAGAUUGGAGGUAUCACAUAUGGCAUAAAAAUACAUUUUUGCUGAUUCCAAUUUAUAUUUUUAUUUUGAAAGUUAAUUAUUAUUAUACUUCACAAUAAAUGUAGCAUUUUCUCAUUCCGCCCUUCAGAUAUAAAAACGUUGCUAGCCCUUAAUGUAGAUUCAUCACUGAAGAAUGACUUUGUCCAAGUUUGAUAAUUCCCUUCCUCUAAAUAAACAUCAAAAUUAAACAUGCUUUGCAGACACAGACCACUCUUUGUCUCAUUGAAUUCAAUGGUUUAACUUUGUCAUCUUGCUCUUUAAUAUUUCAUAUUUUUUAAGAGACCAAACUGUGAAAAUGAAGGUGAAUUCUGAGUCUGAGAUGCAUACAAUUUAAGCUGUGGCAUGUAGAAAAAAAGAACGCAGGCUUCCAAAUGAUCGAAUUUGGUGAAUCUUGUCGCAUUGCUUUUCCAAAUAUUCGAUUCUUAGGCGUUUAAGAUAUACACAUUAUGAGCUAUGGAUCUCUAGAGAAACUACUAGUGUUAAAUGUGUUCUGAUUUACUUCAUUCUAGGAAGGUAGCAUACAAAAUUUAUUACUUUUGGGAACCUAUUUAGAUUAUUGGGGCCAUGUGUGUUCUCAAAUGUUCCAUUCUACACAGUUUAAGAAAUGCAAUUUAUGUUUUACGCUCAUAAAUACUUUCAUUAUGUUCAUAAAUGUUGAAUUCGGACGAUUUAAAUAAAUUUCAACAAUGAAACCGAGAGAAAGAGAGAGAGAGAUUACAUUCGACACACAUCUUUCAAGAUGUCCCAUUCUUGCGAGAUCAAACCAUUAUUUGUAUUCGUUGUCGUCGGCAAGUCCCUUGAAUUUCAGGAUUGAUUUCUCCGGCUGGACGAAUAUUUGGACCAUUAAUGCUGGUAGGGAAUGUGACUAACGAGGCCAAUCCUUGCGUAGAACAUACGAUUGCAUUGGCCAUAUGAGAAUGUCGGAAUCGGUCGUAGAUGCUAUUGUCUGGCCUUCCUAUGUUGUUGUCUCUCUUCCUCUUCUCAUAUUAUUUCUCUUUCAAACAAAAAUUACGUUAUUGUUCAUGUUUUUUUGUCAGUAGUCGGAACGGUUGGUUACGGUCAGGGAGUCGAAGUCGAAUUGACUACCACGUAGAGUGAUAGCCGAUUCCAGUCGGUAAGCUUACUGUGAUAGCUGUAUGAUUCUCCAAAUUGACAUUCUAUAUUACUCUUAUAUAUAUAUAUAUAUAUAUAUAUAUAUAUAUAUAUAUAUAUAGAGAGAGAGAGAGAGAGAGAGAGAGAGAGAGCAAUAGACAGACAAACAGGUAGAUAGAUACAUACAUACAUAUUUACAUACACACACACACACACACAUAUAUACAUAUAUAUAUAUAUAUAUAUAUAUAUAUAUAUAUAUAUAUAUAUAUAUAUAACGGGAAGCUUUAUGAAAAUAGACAAAAGACGAAGGCAGGUUUACGGAAAUAAACAAAAGACGAAGGCAGGUGGAAUAUAUAUAUAUAUAUAUAUAUAUAUAUAUAUAUAUAUAUACACACAUUCGUACUAGUACUCUGUCGGUUACGACAAGGGUUCCAGUUGAUGCGACCAACGGAACAGGUUGCCCUCGAAAUUAACGUGCAUAUGACUGAGUACUCCCCAUACACGCGUACCGUUAACGUAGUUCUCUGGCAAAUUCAGCGUGACGUAGAAUGUGAAAAGGCUGGUGCUUUGACAUACAUGUACUACGCAUUUUCGCCAAUUGAGUUGACUGGAAAUAAAGUGAAAUAAAGUGUCUUGCACAAGGACACACCUCUCCGCUGGGAAUCGAACUCACGACCUUAUGUACAUGAGCCAAAUAGCCGCUAAGCCAUUUACAUGCAUAAAUAUACACACAAAAACGCACGAAACGACUACUCCUGUGUAGUUACUGCUAUUCAAAAACUGCUUUCAAAGUAUUGGUCUACACAAUACAACAGAAAAUAGCACUCGCCAAAUGGCUGCAAAGUGGAUCCCAGUCUUAACAACGCAGGAAAUUUUAACCACAGAGUUUUACCUGCUCUUAUCUGAGCGGUUUUAAACUUUCCGAUGUCUCUCGUGGUCACCAGAUAAAAUAAAUAACAUUCAAUUAUCAAUUCCCCCAGUUGUUCCUAUAUAAUCAACAACACUGUUGUUUCAAAGCGAUUUUUUUUUAUUGUUUAGCGACCAUUCUUUACAUCUCAGUCAUCCGUUUGGCUCUUCUAUCAAAGUGCUACCGUUACCACACAACUGUGUUUAUGCUCUCUAUUUAAUCUUUAUAGUUGCACUUUCUCUUAGCUUGAUCAUUUUCGUCCUUCUAUUAAUAACUGUUUCCAGUACUUUUCAUUUCUAUUGAAAUUCCUGCGUCUUUUUCGCUUCGAUGAUUCUACGACAGUUUAUAUGCAUGACGAAAUUUUGUAGUUUCUUGUAUCCGCUGUUUUAGUUCGCACACCUCGUAAUCUCUAAUCAUAUUUCACGGUUCUAUAGUAGGUGUGAUGAAGGGCAUCAGGUUGUAAAAAUACUUUCCUAUUAAUUCACUAUAACCCCCUUCCCCAUUUACUAAAUUCCACGUCUUUGCCAGAAAGAAGAACAGAAGGAAAAACGUUCGAUUCAGAUAAAUCAAAUGAUAAAUCCAUACGUAUAUUUAUUCUAGUUACAACAAACAGAUCCAUAAACACAUUCGCAUACUUAUUUGCAUAUAUAUAUAUAUAUAUAUAUAUAUAUAUAUAUAUAUAUAUAUAUAUAUAUAUAUAUAUACACAUAUAUAUACAUAUAUAUGUGCAUAUAGUGUAUAUAUGUGUUCGUCGUGUGUUUGAAUAUAUGCAUAUGUGUAUGGGCAUGUAUAUAUAUAUAUAUAUGUAUGUAUAUCUUUACGUAGAAGUGUGUAUAUGCAAGAGCACGCUCAAGUACAGUGCACUCAAUAUAGAACCUAUAUGGGAGUGUGUAUACACACACACACACACACAUAUACAUAUAUAUAUAUAUAUAUACAUAUAUACAUAUAGUUAUAUUUAUAUUUACAUUUACACACAGGCACACGCAAAUCUACACACACAUACUCACAAACGCACACGCGCACGCAUACACACGUGCACGCAUACACACGUGCACGCAUACACACGUGCACGCACACACACGCAUAUGCAUAUAAGUCAAUUAUUGGUUAAACAGACAUACACACACAUAAGUAUUUAAAUCUGCAAAUUUAUGCACUUGUAGGGAGCAUGCAAAAUAAAAAAACAAUAUUUCAACUACUGGAGCAGAAUACAUCUCCAAAAGCCUGGAAAGGCAUUCGAUGGUAUGUGUAUUGUCAUGAAUAGAAUUCCCCAAAAUAAGUGUGGAACAAUGCUAGGGGAAGAUCAAGAAAAUGGAAUUCAAGAAUAACAUGAGACCCACAAGUGGUUGUCUAUAACACAAUUAUUAAUAUAUACAUACGUACAUGUGUGUGUGUGUGUGUGUGUCUGUUCGUGUUGUUUUGCAAACAACUUGCACAUGCAAAUGCUACCAUUUGAGAAAUCCGCAUAACGGAAGCCAGCAAGUGUAUGUGGUCAUCAAGAGAGACUGCGCGUCGUUUCGGGACCUACCUCCCGACUGCAUCAAUGCGAACCGGAGCCCCCACUCACUGAUAUGAAGCACUGCUUGCUAGAUCAACUUGUUAUUAAAUAAAGCUCAAUAUUCUUCUAGCCAUCGUUCAUCGUCUCUUUUAAACCAAAUCCAGUGGCUAGCCUUUUCCACUGUAGUUUGGAUAUCGGUCACGGUGAUAUUUACUUUACGAUGAGUUAGGUCUAACGAUAACAACUGUCGUCUCACACUUCUCAUCCGAAUUCGAUUGGAAAAUGCUCCGCUUUCCAGCCUACGUCUUCACAUUUCUCGAGGAGAUUUAUAUAACGGUCAAUAUUUUGAGCCCGAGCGACGUGCAUGUUUUCUUCAUGAGGAACAGUUAACUUCACUAGUUUUACAACUUUCUUUCCUUCACACCAUGUUAAUGUGUGUGUGUGCAUGCACGCGCGCGUGUGUGUGUGUAUACGCAAGGUGCUGUGAAUAUAUUCUAGUCUAAAUUACUCAAAGUUGAAAAUAACAUUGAUAUCUCAUUUUAACAGAUAUAUUUACCAAAAAUUACAUAAGAAUAUCUUGAAAUACUGAACAGUAAAUUUAUUCAAUAAAAUCGCCAUUGGCUUCAACCACACCCUCCAGAUGACUUCAGAAUCUCCUGCAACUCUGCUGGACGGUCUCCUUGUUUAAGUUGGUGAAUACUGCUUUAAUCCUUGCCUUCAGUUAAUUUUUAGUUUUACAAGUUUUCUUGGUCUCUCGCUCAACUGCACCCCACACGUAAUAAUCAAGGGGGUUGCCGUUUGGGGAGUUCAGUGGCCAGAUGUUAGGGGUGAUGUUGCCACAUAAAUUGUCUGGCAACCAUGACUGGGUUCUCCUACUCGUGUGGGAUGGUGCAGAGUCCUGUUGCCAGAUAUAGGGUCUUUCAGCAGCCACCCUCUUGAGCCAGGCCAGUACUACCCCCUCCAGGCACUUGAUCUAGGCCUCCGUGUUGAGUGUGAGUCCGCGUGGAAAGAUGAAUGGAUGCAAAUGUCGCCAUCACUAGUGAUCACUCCAAACGCCAUGACGUUGACUGGAUGUUUGAUUUUCUUUUUACUCUCGGUAUAUGUUUUGGGGACACGGCAAGCCAACCGGUGUUCUGUGUGUUCACCAUCUGCUCGUACUGGAGCUUCUAGUGCGAAUGCCAAGCAGUACAGCAUGCCAUUUUCAAAUUUUUAGCAAAGUGAGUUGCGUCAUGGUGCUCCUUUUGUCACAGACGGUGCCCGACUGGCCCUACUAUAUAGUGUAGUCAACAAAUUCAAAAACAAACAAUGUGCAUGCGCGAAAUUAAAAAUAUAAAUGGUGAUAAUAUACCCAUUGCAUCCUGUAUGUGUGUGUAUAUAUAUAUAUAUAUAUAUAUAUAUAUAUGAGUGUGUGUGUGUGUGUUUGUCUGUUUGUUUGUUUGUUUGUUUGUGUGAGUGUGUGUGUGUGUGUGAGUGUCUGUGUGUGUGUGCGUGUAUAUGUGUGUGUGUGCGUGAGUAUGCUUAUGUCUGUGUUUGUCUCCAGUCAAUGCUUGACGACUGGUGUUGGUCUGCUUACAUCCUCGUAAAUGACCGGUUCAGCACUAUGACACUAAGGGACAAUAAGUACUUCGUUAAUAAAAACUGGUACCGGGUUGAAGCGUUUAACUAAACUCUUUCAAGCCAGUGCCCAGCGUGGCCACAGUCCUAUGACAAAGAAGUAAAAUGUAAAAUAUAGUAAUUGGGUGGUCUUGUUUGAUCUUGUCUGAACUCUCGGUUCUGAAUCAUCGUAGUAAAUUCAUUGUCAUUUGCAGGAUUUUUGUGCAUUUGACCACAUUUUCUCGGUUUCUUUGCGAAAUGUUGGUCUUUUGAUUCAUAAGCAUAGGCACACCACUACCCAGUCAAGCAUUUAGAUGACUUCUGCCUUUGGGCGGACUGGACCUUUACUGAUUUCAGCUGAGACUGUUUUUUAAUACUCUAUCUUUCACGUUUUUCAGUCAUUGGACGGUGUCCAUGCAAGCCCACCGCCUUAAAAGGAUUCACUUAAACGAAUCAACUCCAGGACUUAUUUUUUAAAAGCCUAGUACUUAUUCUAUCGGUCACUUUUACUGAACCACUAAGUUGCUGGGAAGACACACAGACAGACAAACACACACACACACUCACACACACACACACACACACACACACACACACACACACACACACACACACAUUUGAAUAUAUUAUACUGUACCAAGAAAUUUUUUAUUAUUAUUCUACUACACACACGCACACACACACACACACAUAUAUAUAUAUAUAUAUAUAUAUAUAUAUAUAUAUAUAUAUAUAUAUACGACAGGCUUCUUCUUUCAUUUUCCGUCUACCAGAUACUCUCACAAGGCUUCGGUCGGCCCAGUGUUAUAGGAGACGGUGUCACUCGUCAUGGGUGAAUCCGAACCAUCUGAGUGAGAAGCAAACUUCUUACCACACAGCCAUACUCACUUUAUCACUAUUAUCAUUUAUUUUAUGAUUAUAUACUGGCUUGACAUUCACUUUUCACAACUUUAAUCAAAUCGUCUGCUUAACAUUUCGUCCAGUUUUCAAUUUUGCCUUUGAUUCGUCUUUUCUCAGCUUCUGUCAAUAAGGUUUUGCAAACUCUUUUCCGUUUUUUUUUUGUUUGUUUUUAAAACAGCUUACUGGUUUUGUCUAGUUUCAUUUUGAUUUUGUAUUAUUUCUUUCGGUUUCGUUUCAUAUCUUAAAAAAAUUAAAAGGCAGGAAAGGGCUGCGUGAAUGUGUGUUCUAAGCGGAAAAAGAAUUAAAAAUACCUCUUUUUCUUAAGGGUAAUUUUCUAUACUUAUUUUCAUUAUAAAUAAGUACAAAAUCUAUAAUAAUUCUUAGUCUCACGCACAAUAAAAUUUACAAUCUCACUUUCAAAAAUAUACACUUUCCUGGAUCUCUGGCGUGAACAUAAAUUCAUUUGAGAUGCCCACAUUUUGCUUGCAAACGAAUAUACAAAUGGCGAAAAAUCGGUGCACUUUCUCUAUCCAGAGCCAGUUAAAGCAAUACUUUCUUUCGUAUUGGAGCACUAACAUCUACCUCUCUUAUAAUGAAGGAAAGUCAGAAAAAUCCUCUUCAUCGCUGUAUAAAUCUUCCGUUUGGCACUUGAAUUCGUUGGAAUGAGAUUCAUUGAAGCAUGCUUCCAAAUGUCAGAAUAUAUCUCCGUAGCAAGUGGGAUAUUAAAGGGUUUGAUGAGUAUAAGAUCAAGUUCUGGGGCGCAAUACUUGAGAAUAAAGGCAGGUACAAUGUCAUAACCUGUGACCUUGCUGGUUUGAAGCAUUUCCGCCCUUGGCAUAUGUAUAUGCAGAGUCAGGGGUAGGUGGAGUGGAAGAGUGUAGACGAGAGAGUUUUGUAAUAGAGUAAUAUUUCAAUCAGACACCCUCAUCCUGUUUACAAAUUAGGUAAUCUUAUCUGUAUGGGCUAUAGUAUUGUAGGUUCGUGGGGACCGGUAUGUUAAAGAACAAACCCAACGUUUCCUCUUUGUGUCGUGAAGGGUAGUUAAAAGAGGUUGUGGUAGGAUUUGCACUCCGACCUCUCACUAGUAACGACUACCCCAAACACUCAGGGGUCGGAGGAUUGUCACCUGUGUGGUGCAAAGGUGUCAUCAGCUAGGAGGAAAGAAUUACUAACAAAUGGGGGAAUGUUGGAUGCAGCGAUGCGCUGUUACAGUGCAUACUCCUACAUUACUACUACUACUACUACUACUACUACUACUACUACUACUACUACCACUACUACUACUACUACUACUACCACCACUACUACUACUACUACUGCUGCUGCUGCUGCUACUGCUGCUGCUACUGCUGCUGCUACUGCUGCUGCUGCUGCUGCUUGUGCUACUAAUACUACGACUACCACUACUACGACUACUACUACUGCGACGACGACGACCACCACCACCACCAGCACCACCAGCACCACCACCACCACCACCACCACCAGCACCACCACCACCACUACUACUACUACUACUACUACUACUACUACUACUACUACUACUACUACUACUACUACUACUACUACUGCUACUACUACCAAAACAACCACCACCACCACCACCACAGCUGCUGCUGCUGCUAUUACUGUAGCAGAUUUUAGUAUUAACUUCCUUCAUCUGAAGUUCUCUUUUCGUAUUUCUACCUCCAGUGUCAGCAUUUCAGCCCUUUUCAUUUCCAUCAAAAGCUAAGCGAGUUUUAGUGGUAAACCAAACCCAGCACUAAUAGUACAUACCUUCCAUGGGUGGUUCUCUUUUUUAUUCACUGAUUUUCAGUAUUGAAAUUUUUUCAAAGUUUUCAAGUUUUACUUACUUUCCCACUUUCUUACAGUAACGUUGAUACAUUUGUUUUAUCCUAUAUAAUUACUGAAUUUCUGAAUCUAUUGUUCAUAUUGCUUAUUGGGAAUAGGUUUUUUUUGUUGUAAUGAUUUAUUUAGAGUUGAUAGUUUAUAAUUUGUUAUAGCAUGGUGCCUGGUUUAUGCAGUGUUGGGUGAGUCAUGUCCACUGUACAGAUCAGUUGUUCUCAGCCGGGUCCAUAUGGUUUCUGGAGUUCCACAUAAAAUUUUUGAGGUCCAUGCAACAAAAUAGUAAAUUUAGAAUCCAAAGUAGCAUUUUAAGGGGGCCUGAAAAAGAUUCUGCUUUAGAUGUUUUGCAAGAAGCAGCUAGGUUUCUUUCUCUGAAAUUUCACAUAGUUCAACCUACUAAAGUGAGUGUGUGAUAAAGCAAAAUAGGAAUUUAAAAGCUUCCAUAAAACUAGCUAUUAAACAUCGAAUAGCUGGAGUGGGGGCACCAGAAGGAAAUAAUAAUCGAAGAUGUUCAUAGAUAAAAAGUAGAUGAGAACUCCUGGUAUAGAUCAUCUUACUGCCUUCUUUUGGUUAGAAGAUGAGCAAUUAGCCCCUGUCUGGACAAUAUUGAAGUGACUUAUGGCUUUCCAUUUCAGUCCAUACUCCAUCAGCUUCUUCAAAGUCGACUUAAAGGAGAAGUUAAGAGGAAGCGGAUGAGAUGAUCUCGAGCUAAAUUUGCUGAAAGAUUGGUGAAACUCGUUUGAUGGUUUCAAGUGAAUGAACCUACUCUGCAGGAGAACGCAUUUGAGACAAGCCGCUUUCUCUUAAAAAGAGGUGUAAUUCGGGAUUUUGGAGUUUCCCAGCUUAAUUAAAUCCAAGUAGCUACUUCGUACUAGGAAAUUACAUUUAAUUUUCUCCACACCCUUCCUUAUGAAUGAUUAAUUCUAUGCAAAUCUCAUCAUUGUUCUCAUUUGUUUUAGUAACGACUCCUUAUCGGCCAAGCAAAGAAACGGUUACCAUCAUUAUUAUUAUUAUUAUAAUUUAUAAUAGUGAGGAUAGAGGUGACAGUAAAAUCACUAGUGGUGGUGGUGGUGGUGGUGGUGGUGGUGGUGGUGGUGGUGAUGGUGAUGUUGUAACUUUCUUAGACGGCCCACCAAAACAAUUAUUGGUUGUUGAAAGUAGGCGUUACCUAGAUUAGUUUACCAAUGAAAAAAAAAAAGGAUGUCCCAAUUUCGUCUCUACACCAGCCAGUGUGUGGGAAUGAGCAAAAUGAGAAAUCAGUCUCCUAGAAUCCCAACCCUUCACCCGCAAACAUAACUACCAAUAUCACUUAUCUGGAGAAACCGUUACUUCAAAGACACGGUGACCUACUUUCCACAAUACAUUAUGCUACAUAAUUAUACAAGCACACACACACACACACACACACACACACACACACACACACACACACACACACACAAACACACACACUCAUACACGUGUGUGUAUGUGUGUGUGUGUGCACGCGCGCGUGUACGUGUGAAUGUGUGCGCGUAUGUGUGUGUAUGCAUAUUAGUGUAUAUAUGGGGAUAUAAAUACACAUACACAUGAAUAUGGUUGUUGUUCGACAAUAUAUGAUGAGAGAUACACACAGAUAUAUCGAUGUGUAGGCAUGUAUAUAACGUUAUUAUAUAUGUAUGUGUGAGUGUAUAUAUAUAUAUAUAUAUAUAUAUAUAUAUAUAUAUACAUACAUCUAUAUACAUACAUACAUACAUACAUACAUGCAUACAUACAUAUAUAUAUAUACAUUAUUAAUGGUUCUGUUUUUAAUGACUGAUGUGAUGCCGGAGCAGACAUCAGCCACGGUAUCCAAAACUCAGAGUCUUAUUAUGACAACCAACUAAUUGUCACAUAAUAUAUAUAUAUAUAUAUAUAUAUAUAUAUAUAUAUAUAUAUAUAUAUAUAUAUAUAUAUAUAUAUAUAUAUAUAUGUAUAUAUAUAUGUAUAUAUCGUUUUUGGAUUUGGUUUGCAAGAUUCUUUAUGUGAGUUCGUUUGUUGAACCAUAUUCAUGUAUGUGUAUAUAUAUAUAUAUAUAUAUAUAUAUAUACAAAAUGGGACAAGAACGCAAAACAUCCAGACAGGUGAUAUAAAAAAGGGACAACAAAACAUCCAGAUAGACGUUUUGGAAAACAAGGACGGGUCAUUCGGAGUUUUCUUUCCUCAGUCGUGUUGCAUAUUAUCUUUGAAAUUUCGGCUGGUUAUAUAUACAUAUAUACAUAUAUACAUACAUAUAUAUAUAUAUAUAUAUAUAUAUAUAUAUAUAUAUAUAUAUAUAUAUAUAUAUAAAUAUAUAUAUAAGGAUAAUAAAUAUAUUCAAGUUUGUCAAAAGUGGGGAAGUAUUAGAGUAAAAUAGGUAUGCGUUACGUAGUUCUAUGUUCAACUAAAUAAUACAGUUCAUUAGGAAUUUCAAAUUAGAAUGUUCAAUGAUAAUCCACGGGAAAGAAUAGUGGAAGUUAGCAGUUCCAAUUUUGAAUAGAGAAUAAAUGAGGGUUAAAUAGGAAUCUUAUACUACAGUGUGGAAGAAAGAGAGACAAGCAGAUGUGGUUGGGUACAUAUAUACUAUUCAAUAUAGUGUGAAUAUAGUUGAUCCACAUGAUUGGCCAUUAGAUAAACAGCUGUAAGAGAUUUUAUGUUUAUAUUCUUUAUCUAAAUUAAAUGUCUUUU
rnacentral:lncRNA from 1 species